rnacentral:rRNA from 1 species
GAUGAACGCUGGCGGCGUGCCUAAUACAUGCAAGUCGAGCGAACAGACGAGGAGCUUGCUCCUCUGACGUUAGCGGCGGACGGGUGAGUAACACGUGGAUAACCUACCUAUAAGACUGGGAUAACUUCGGGAAACCGGAGCUAAUACCGGAUAAUAUAUUGAACCGCAUGGUUCAAUAGUGAAAGACGGUUUUGCUGUCACUUAUAGAUGGAUCCGCGCCGCAUUAGCUAGUUGGUAAGGUAACGGCUUACCAAGGCGACGAUGCGUAGCCGACCUGAGAGAGUGAUCGGCCACACGGGAACUGGGACACGGUCCAGACUCCUACGGGAGGCAGCAGUAGGGAAUCUUCCGCAAUGGGCGAAAGCCUGACGGAGCAACGCCGCGUGAGUGAUGAAGGUCUUCGGAGCGUAAAACUCUGUUAUUAGGGAAGAACAAAUGUGUAAGUAACUAUGCACGUCUUGACGGUACCUAAUCAGAAAGCCACGGCUAACUACGUG